rnacentral:rRNA from 1 species
GAUGAACGCUGGCGGCGUGCCUAAUACAUGCCAGUCGAGCGAACAGACGAGGAGCUUGCUCCUCUGACGUUAGCGGCGGACGGGUGAGUAACACGUGGAUAACCUACCUAUAAGACUGGGAUAACUUCGGGAAACCGGAGCUAAUACCGGAUAAUAUAUUGAACCGCAUGGUUCAAUAGUGAAAGACGGUUUUGCUGUCACUUAUAGAUGGAUCCGCGCCGCAUUAGCUAGUUGGAAAGGUAACGGCUUACCAAGGCAACGAUGCGUAGCCGACCUGAGAGGGUGAUCGGCCACACUGGAACUGAGACACGGUCCAGACUCCUACGGGAGGCAGCAGUAGGGAAUCUUCCGCAAUGGGCGAAAGCCUGACGGAGCAACGCCGCGUGAGUGAUGAAGGUCUUCGGAUCGUAAAACUCUGUUAUUAGGGAAGAACAAAUGUGUAAGUAACUAUGCACGUCUUGACGGUACCUAAUCAGAAAGCCACGGCUAACUACGUG